rnacentral:rRNA from 1 species
UACGGGAGGCAGCGGGGGAAUAUUGCACAAUGGGCGAAAGCCUGAUGCAGCUAUGCCGCGUGUAUGAAGAAGGCCUUAGGGUUGUAAAGUACUUUCAUCGGGGAGGAAAAAACAAAACUAAUAAUUUUAUUUCUUGACGUUACCCGAAAAAGAAGCACCGGCUAACUCCGUGCCAGCAGCCGCGGUAAUACGGAGGGUGCUAGCGUUAAUCAGAAUUACUGGGCGUAAAAGAGCACGUAGGUGGUUUUUUUAAGUCAGAUGUGAAAAUCCCUGGGCUUAACCUAGGAACUGCAUUUUGAAACUGAAAUACUAGAGUAUCGUAGAGGGAGGUAGAAUUCUAGGUGUAGCGGUGAAAUGCGUAGAUAUCUGGAGGAAUACCUGUGGCGAAAGCGGCCUCCUAAACGAAUACUGACACUGAGGGUGCGAAAAGCGUGGGGAGCAAACAGGGAUUAGAUACC